AGUGAACGCUGGCGGUAGGCCUAACACAUGCAAGUCGAACGGCAGCACAGUAAGAGCUUGCUCUUACGGGUGGCGAGUGGCGGACGGGUGAGGAAUACAUCGGAAUCUACUUUUUCGUGGGGGAUAACGUAGGGAAACUUACGCUAAUACCGCAUACGACCUACGGGUGAAAGCAGGGGAUCUUCGGACCUUGCGCGAUUGAAUGAGCCGAUGUCGGAUUAGCUAGUUGGCGGGGUAAAGGCCCACCAAGGCGACGAUCCGUAGCUGGUCUGAGAGGAUGAUCGGCACAACUGAACCUGGGACCCGGCCCGACUCCCUCCGGAGGGAAGAGGGGGGAAUUUUGGAACAAGGGGCGAAAGCCUGCUCCAGCCAUCCGGGGUGGGUAAAGAAGGCCUUCGGGUGGUAAAGCCCUUUUGUUGGGAAAGAAAAGCAGCAGGUUAAUACCCCGCUGUUCUGACGGGACCCAAAGAAUAAGCACCGGCGAACUUCGU
rnacentral:rRNA from 1 species